rnacentral:lncRNA from 1 species
GCGGAAUUCUCCACGAGUUUUGAGCAGCCUCGGUUUUCCCACCACCUCCAAAUCAUGCAAGACACAGGGUAAGAGCAAAGACAAGGUGGGUGUGGCCGAUGUCCACCCUCUCGGGGCGUCCCUUCUUUUCUCUCCUCCUUGGGCAGGGAGACCAUCAGGGUGCAACCUGCCUGGGGCGGGGAGGAGGUGCAGGGCCUGGCCAGAGCGGGCCUGGCCACGGGCAAGGGACAGCGACCUCCUGGGCCAGGACAGGUGAGCGCGGCGCAGGCCCGGGACCCGCGUGGCGGCGGUGCGCGUGAGCGGCCAGCAGAGGGCGCCAGAGAGCCAGGAGCUGCCCGGGGAGGAGCCCGCGCCGGCCCCAAUGUCCAGCUCCGCGCCGCGCAGACCCACCAAGCCCGCGCUCAGACGGCCCAGCUCAGCCGAGAGGCUGCUCGCGCCGGGUCCUUCCUCUUCCCCAAGUGCAGGCAGAGCCCCUGGAGCCAUGGCCAGCCCUUCCGGCAGCUCCGAAGCCACUGGCAAGUCCCGAGGCAGAGAUGGCCCGCCCAGGAGGGAGGGGGACGACGUCCCUCCCUAGGAGAAGAGGCUGCGGCUGUUGCUGGAGGGGGAAGCGCACAGCCCGAGGACUGCGAGGACGGGGAGGACGCGCCGCGGCCGGGCAGGGAGGAGACCGGCACCCAGACAGGUGGCGACGGCAGAGGA